GUCGUGUCAGAGUCUCUUGGAGGAUUUGUUGGACACAGAUCCUGGGGCCCAGCCCUGGCUUCUGGUUGGACAGGUUCAGAGCCCUGGUUUGGAAGGACAACAAAGGAAACGUUUGGUACUGUUUCAUGGUUAGCCCACUUCAAAGAGAAUGAUUCCCUGUCAUUCAAGACUGGGAUAGAAGGCAAAUGACCUGCUGCUUGGCUGAAGGCUGGGAUGGCUGUGUGGGACAGAGCAGGAGAUGGCUGCCUCUUGCAGGCCAGCUCAGGCUCAGGCAGUGUCCCUCCUUGGCUUACGGGGGGCGAAAGAGAAUGACUAACACUGACUUUGCCCUACUGGGGACUCCGGCUCAUGGAAAAGUCCCUUUGGCCUCCUUCUGUGACACUGCUGGAGAGCCGGGUGGCGGGGGCAACACCUCCCCGCGCAUACACCAGAAAUAAGGUCGUCUCCAAGCUCUUCUCCAUGGAUGCGAGUCACCAAAAAAAAAAAAAAAAAAGAGCUUCUGUUGCCAGGGAAUGCAUCUUG